rnacentral:rRNA from 1 species
AUGAGGAAAGGCACUCUCGCUCUCGCGCUCUUCCUCCUCCUCACCUUUGCUUCCCAUGGCGUAUGGUGUGCGGCAGCUGCGAGAAGCGCCAUGGCCGAGGAGGACGCAGCUCAUCGUCAUCAUCUGAGGCCUCAUCAACAUGAAACCCAAGAGGGGAGGAUGCAGACUGCCAGGAAGGUUGGGCGCAUGGCAGGCGGCUCUGGGGAAGCCAGUGGUAGGAACACCGGUGGCGCCGCAGACACAGGGCCGCACAACACCAAGAACGGCGGCACUGUGGCCCUGCCGGCCGCGUCGACCUCUGCUUUGGCGCUGGUUUUCACAGCUACCGUCCUUCCCUCGACGCUCAGCUUCUGA